rnacentral:rRNA from 1 species
GACGAACGCUGGCGGCGUGCUUAACACAUGCAAGUCGAACGGUGAAGCGCUUGCCUUUUUGGUGGGUGUGGAUGAGUGGCGAACGGGUGAGUAACACGUGAGUAACCUGCCCUCUUCUUCUGGAUAACCUCAUGAAAGUGGGGCUAAUACGGGGUAUUCCGGGUCUGUCGCAUGGCGGGUUUGGGAAAGCUUGCGCCUUUGGGGGUUUUCGGUGGGGGAUGGGCUCGCGGCCUAUCAGCUUGUUGGUGGGGUGAUGGCCUACCAAGGCGGUGACGGGUAGCCGGCCUGAGAGGGUGGACGGCCACACUGGGACUGAGACACGGCCCAGACUCCUGCGGGAGGCAGCAGUGGGGAAUAUUGCACAAUGGGCGCAAGCCUGAUGCAGCGACGCCGCGUGAGGGAUGGAGGCCGUCGGGUUGUGAACCUCUUUCGCCAGUGAAGCAGGCCUGCUCCUGUGUGGGUGGGUUGACGGUAGCUGGAUAAGAAGCGCCGGCUAACUACGUG